ACGGAAGGCAGCAGCUAAGAAUAUUCCGCAAUGGACGAAAGUCUGACGGAGCGACGCCGCGUGGAUGAUGAAGGUCGAAAGAUUGUAAAAUCCUUUUAGGAGUGAAGAAUAAGCGGUGCAGGGAAUGGCAUCACGGUGACGGUAGCUCCUGAAUAAGCAACGGCUAAUUACGUGCCAGCAGCCGCGGUAACACGUAAGUUGCGAGCGUUGUUCGGAAUUAUUGGGCGUAAAGGGUAUGUAGGCGGUCGUGCAAGCUUGGGGGGAAAGGCAGGGGCUCAACCCCUGGACUGCAUUGAGAACGGCAAGACUUGAAUUGCUGAAGGGCAGCCGGAAUUCCAGGUGUAGGGGUGAAAUCUGUAGAUAUCUGGAAGAACACCAAUGGCGAAGGCAGGCUGCUGGCGGAUGAUUGACGCUGAGGUACGAAAGUGCGGGGAGCAAACAGGAUUAGAUACCCUGGUA
rnacentral:rRNA from 1 species